AUUGAACGUCGGCGGCAGGCCAAAAACAUGCAAGUCGAACGAGCGGCGGACGGGUGAGUAAUGUCCAGGAAACUGCCUGAUGGAGGGGGAUAACUACUGGAAACGGUAGCUCAUACCGCAUACCAUCGGAUGUGCCCAGAUGGGAUUAGCUAGUUGGUGGGGUAAAGGCUCAUCUAGGCGACGCUCCCUAGCUGGUCUGAGAGGAGGACCAGCCACACUGGAACUGAGACACGGUCCAGACUCCUACGAGAGGCAGCAGUGGGGAAUAUUGCACAAUGGGCGCAAGCCUGAUGCAGCCAUGCCGCGUGUAUGAAGAAGGCCUUCGGGUGGUAAAGUACUUUCAGCGGGGAGGCGUUACCCGCAGAAGAAGCACCGGCUAACUCCGUGCCAGCAGCCGCGGUAAUAC
rnacentral:rRNA from 1 species